AGGGCUGGCGGGCCUCUUUAGAUGGGGCCCGUGGGCUCGGCCUCAGCAUAGGCACACGUGACGCGCGUGUGGGCGUUGACUGACAGGCGCGGCCUUGGGCGGGCAUUGGCGGAAAUCAACUUCCGGGGGCAGAGGUGCUGGAAGCCGGGUGGUACGUGGUCUUAGUUCCAAAGGGAGGAAUGCUUCCACCAGAAGACACAAUGAUCCCACUGAAUUGGAAAUUAAGACUACUGCCCAGCCACUUUGGACUCCUCAUGCCUCUGAAUCAACAGGCAAAGAAGGAAGUUGCUGUGCUGGCUGGGGUGACUGAUCCUGACAACCAAGGGGAUAUUGGAAUACUAUUCCACAAUGGAGAGGCUUGAUUUGUGACCCAAGAUGUGAUGUAUCCUGGAGAAUGUUCUGUGUGCACUUGAGAAGAAAGUGUAUUCUGCUGCUUUCAGAUGGAAUGUCCUAUAAAUAUCAAUUAAAUC